GCCAGCGUGGUGUAGUGGUUUGAACACUUAACAAUGAUUCUGGAGACCAGGGUUUGAAUCCCUACUCAGCCA